GAUGAACGCUGGCGGCGUGCCUAAUACAUGCAAGUCGAGCGAACAGACGAGGAGCUUGCUCCUCUGACGUUAGCGGCGGACGGGUGAGUAACACGUGGAUAACCUACCUAUAAGACUGGGAUAACUUCGGGAAACCGGCGCUAAUACCGGAUAAUAUAUUGAACCGCAUGGUUCAAUAGUGAAAGACGGUUUUGCUGUCACUUAUAGAUGGAUCCGCGCCGCAUUAGCUAGUUGGUAAGGUAACGGCUUACCAAGGCAACGAUGCGUAGCCGACCUGAGAGGGUGAUCGGCCACACUGGAACUGAGACACGGUCCAGGCUCCUACGGGAGGCAGCAGUAGGGAAUCUUCCGCAAUAGGCGAAAGCCUGACGGAGCAACGCCGCGUGAGUGAUGAAAAUCUUCGGAUCGUAAAGCUCUGUUAUUAGGGAAGAACAAAUGUGUAAGUAACUAUGCACGUCUUGACGGUACCUAAUCAGAAAGCCACGGCUAACUACGUG
rnacentral:rRNA from 1 species